AGUGAACGCUGGCGGUAGGCCUAACACAUGCGAGUCGAACGGCAGCACAGUAAGAGCUUGCUCUUACGGGUGGCGAGUGGCGGACGGGUGAGGAAUACAUCGGAAUCUACUUUUUCGUGGGGGAUAACGUAGGGAAACUUACGCUAAUACCGCAUACGACCUACGGGUGAAAGCAGGGGAUCUUCGGACCUUGCGCGAUUGAAUGAGCCGAUGCCGGAUUAGCUAGUUGGCGGGGUAAAGGCCCACCAAGGCGACGAUCCGUAGCUGGUCUGAGAGGAUGAUCAGCCACACUGGAACUGAGACACGGUCCAGACUCCUACGGGAGGCAGCAGUGGGGAAUAUUGGACAAUGGGCGCAAGCCUGAUCCAGCCAUACCGCGUGGGUGAAGAAGGCCUUCGGGUUGCAAAGCCCUUUUGUUGGGAAAGAAAAGCAGCAGGUUAAUACCCCGCUGUUCUGACGGUACCCAAAGAAUAAGCACCGGCUAACUUCGUG
rnacentral:rRNA from 1 species